AUAUCUCUCCGUACGGGAAGGAUGAGAAGCUUCGACUAAGGUUCGAUUCGAGCGCAGCGAGAAAGCGUUGCCGCAGGCAACGACCCGAAGGUUGAAGCGCGCAGCGCUGAGUAAUCCUUCCCCCACCACCA
rnacentral:sRNA from 1 species